rnacentral:rRNA from 1 species
GACGUAGGGCGCGAGCGUUGUCCGGAUUUAUUGGGCGUAAAGAGCUCGUAGGCGGCUCGUUGCGUCCGCUGUGAAAACCCGCAGCUCAACUGUGGGCUUGCAGCUGAUACGGGCGGGCUAGAAUUCGGUAGGGGAGACUGGAAUUCCUGGUGUAGCGGUGAAAUGCGCAGAUAUCAGGAGGAACACCGGUGGCGAAGGCGGGUCUCUGGGCCGAUAUUGACGCUGAGGAGCGAAAGCGUGGGGAGCGAACAGG